GCUCCCGUAGCUCAAUGUAUAGAGCGCCGCGCUUCGAACGCGGAGGCUGGAGGCGAGCGCUGUGCGCGAUAGCGCACAUCAACGAGGUGCGGAGCAGACUUGGCACAGCCGCCGGGCGGCAACGUCCUUCCGGGAGUGCCA
rnacentral:tRNA from 1 species